UUCGUAGGUGAACCUGCGGAAGGAUCAUUAGUGAACAUAGGACGUCCAACUUAACUUGGAGUCCGAACUCUCACUUUCUAACCCUGUGCAUUUGUUUGGGAUAGUAACUCUCGCAAGAGAGCGAACUCCUAUUCACUUAUAAACACAAAGUCUAUGAAUGUAUUUAAUUUUAUAACAAAAUAAAACUUUCAACAACGGAUCUCUUGGCUCUCGCAUCGAUGAAGGACGCAGCGAAAUGCGAUAAGUAAUGUGAAUUGCAGAAUUCAGUGAAUCAUCGAAUCUUUGAACGCACCUUGCGCUCCAUGGUAUUCCGUGGAGCAUGCCUGUUUGAGUGUCAUGAAUACUUCAACCCUCCUCUUUCUUAAUGAUUGAAGAGGUGUUUGGAUUCUGAGCGCUGCUGGCCUUACGGUCUAGCUCGUUCGUAAUGCAUUAGCAUCCGCAAUCGAACUUCGGAUUGACUUGGCGUAAUAGACUAUUCGCUGAGGAAUUCUAAUCUUCGGAUUAGAGCCGGGUUAGGUUAAAGGAAGCUUCUAAUCAGAAUGUCUACAUUUUAAGAUUAGAUCUCAAAUCAGGUAGGACUACCCGCUGAACUUAAGCAUAUCAAUAAGCGGAGGA
rnacentral:rRNA from 1 species